AUGAGCUAGGCCUGAGCUCCUCUCUCUGCAGGAAGCACACUCCAGUCACAUAAACAUCAAAAUGGGUGUCGCAGUAUGGAGAAGGAUGGUGUAGUCAGGCUGGGGGAGGAAAUGAAGCUAUCCCACCAGUGGUACAUCACUGCAUCUCUGCCCCAUAGCGGCUGAACAAAUCAGGGGGGUACAAUGAUUUAGAAACAGCUCCACUGUGGCAAAUUGUGAAUAAGCACCCAACCACCACCACUUCUAAUGAAUGAGUUAUCUUAUGACAGUAUGGUAUUCAUGCUACAGGGAUUCAAUUCUUCAUCUAGUGAACAUAAAUGCACAAAGUAUUAUACACUACUAGUACUCUGUGCACUUUCACAUUUGUCUUUUAUCUAAAUAUUUAUUUUUUUCUUUAAUUUUUGAUUGGUUAUGAAGGAACACUUAAGGUACUCAGACUGAUAGUACCAGACAGCCUGUUUUAAGACAUGCUUGUUAUAUUUAUACAUCCUGUGAUUUGUUUGAGGCUCUGCAUAGUAAGAGCCUAUUGUUCCCAAAUGCUACAGCAGGACGGUGAUGCAGCGUUUAGCAAUGCUGCCUCAAAGCCAAAAGGAGCUGGCUACAAAUCAGCUGGUUGUCUGAGACUGUAGAAGUGUUGAGCAUGAAGAGAUGUCCUUUCAAUUUUCAAACUAAUUCAGAUGCAAAGGGAAAAUUUUCUUCUAGAAAACUUUUCAACAACCUAAGACAGCUUAACACCAUUCAGUUUUUAAACAAGCCUCAACAUUGUUUAGACGCCUGGCAACGUCGUCUUCAACAUAUUUUUUAGAGCUUAUUUCCUUGUACCGCUUUUACAUAAUCUGUUAAAACUUGUCUUCAUGUGAAUGUGAAGAAGCAAAAAACAAGCUUUUUGACAGCAACAACAGAGUAGUAUAUUUUUUUAAAAGCCUACUGUAACUGAACUAUCACAAAUAGGAUUUUGAGUAUUUAGCCAGAUGUUUAUGCAUGUCCGCGUGCAGAUAUUCGACUGCAAACACGGCAGGUACAGUCAUAAAACUUUAGUUGGGAUCAAAAUGAAGAUCAGAUAUGCUAAGACUGGGGUGGUCUAGCCUGUGACUAGUGAACAAAUUGCAACAGAAGUGGUGAGUAUGGCUUUGUCCUACUUUACACCCCUGUCCUAUAGCUUUGUGCAUUUUCUGUUGUGUAUAAGUAUAUUUUCCACAGUGGGUGUAGCCUUAGAAUUCAAUGGAUCUUAUUUGAAAAUGAUUAGGCUGUCAGAGCUCUUGCAUUUAUGGGCAGUUAAAGAAAUAGUUCUAUAAAUAUGCUCAUAUUUAUCUUCUUGUCAAAAUUUGAGGAAGCAUGUAAGCACCACUUUAAUACCUUUAUGUUAUAUGCGCAACAUUAACAGUUGGGGUGACAGAAACAUU